UCUUCUCAACAGUUUCAUCUCUAGAAGAUAAAAGUGCUAUUUAGAUUCUGGAGGCCAACGUAGGGGGACUGCAAGCUCAAAGCCAUCCUGGUCUACAGAGUGAGUUACAGGUCUACUUGAUAGAGAAAAUGUGAUGGGAUCCUGGGAAGGACUCCUUGUCUAUUGAUGCAGAGCUUCAGCAUCAGAAUCUAAUAACUGACAUGACAUGGGGCUGAAAACCAUUAAUGAAUCUGUCUUCCCUGCGAUUCUCUUCCCAUUCUUCGCAGGCCUCUAUGACAAAGUGACAGUAACC